AAAGUCGUAACAAGGUCUCCGUAGGUGAACCUGCGGAGGGAUCAUUACCGAGAGAGGGCCGCCGCCCGCGGCGCCCGACCUCCCAACCCUUUUGAUUGACCGUUACCCUGUUGCCUCGGGGGCCGACCUCGGUCGCCCCCGGCGGGCCAACCCAUCAAACUCUGCGUCCCUGCGUCGGAGUACGAAACACAAAUCGUUUAAAACUUUCAACAACGGAUCUCUUGGUUCUC
rnacentral:misc_RNA from 1 species